rnacentral:rRNA from 1 species
UACGUAGGGUGCGAGCGUUAAUCGGAAUUACUGGGCGUAAAGCGUGCGCAGGCGGUUCUGCAAGUCAGAUGUGAAAUCCCCGGGCUUAACCUGGGAACUGCGUUUGAAACUACGGAGCUAGAGUGCGGCAGAGGGGGGUGGAAUUCCACGUGUAGCAGUGAACUGCGUAGAUAUGUGGAGGAACACCGAUGGCGAAGGCAGCCCCCUGGGCCGACACUGACGCCCAGGCACGAAAGCGUGGGGAGCAAACAGG